CCCCGCCCCGCCCCGCCUUCCUAGUUUCUGCGCUGUGCAGAGGUCUCCGCCCUUUUUGUCCCGGGAGGUUGACGGGAGGAUCCCCACGACAUUUUAAUGGUUUCCAGGCGGGCGUCUCCAUCCCUGAGCAGGGCUGACCUUGGGCCCUGGGAUUUGUGUCCGGCACGCGCUGGUCAGCAGCCUGGAAUCCCAAGUGCAGGUUGAACACUGCCAGUACAAGUUUUUGAAGCUGGGUGCUC